rnacentral:snRNA from 1 species
ACCCUUUGCAAGUAGAUAAGAUAUUUCUUCUAGAGCUUUGCAUUUAAAACCUUAUUGCACUCUGGGUGUGCUGACCCCUGUGAUUUCCCCAAAUGAGGGAAACUCACUUGACUGCAUAAUUUGUGGUAGUGGGGAAUUGCAUUUGCACUUUCCCC